rnacentral:rRNA from 1 species
GCCAACUACGUGCCAGCAGCCGCGGUAAUACGUAGGGUGCGAGCGUUGUCCUGAAUUACUGGGCGUAAAGAGCUCGUAGGUGGUUUGUCGCGUUGUUCGUGAAAACUCACAGCUUUCCUGUGGGCGUGCGGGCGAUACGGGCCGACUAGAGUACUGCAGGGGAGACUGGAAUUCCUGGUGUAGCGGUGGAAUGCGCAGAUAUCAGGAGGGCCUCCCCUUCGGCNGGCUCUUCUCUCUCCUUUUCCUCUCNCUNUCNUNCNCNNNCNUNNNGCCCUUUCAAAGUUUUCUNCCCUNNUNCUCCNCNCCCUCNNCNCCCUUAAUGGGGUGUGGGGUCCUUCCUUGGGAUCCGUGCCGUAGGUAACGCAUUAAGUACCCCGCCUGGGGAGUUCGGCCGCAAGGCUAAAACUCAAAGAAAUUGACGGGGGCCCGCACAAGCGGCGGAGCAUGUGGAUUAAUUCGAUGCAACGCGAAGAACCUUACCUGGGUUUGACAUGCACAGGACGACUGCAGAGAUGUGGUUUCCCUUGUGGCCUGUGUGCAGGUGGUGCAUGGCUGUCGUCAGCUCGUGUCGUGAGAUGUUGGGUUAAGUCCCGCAACGAGCGCAACCCUUGUCCUAUGUUGCCAGCGGGUUAUGCCGGGGACUCGUAGGAGACUGCCGGGGUCAACUCGGAGGAAGGUGGGGAUGACGUCAAGUCAUCAUGCCCCUUAUGUCCAGGGCUUCACACAUGCUACAAUGGCCGGUACAAAGGGCUGCGAUGCCGUGAGGUGGAGCGAAUCCUUGUAAAGCCGGUCUCAGUUCGGAUCGGGGUCUGCAACUCGACCCCGUGAAGUCGGAGUCGCUAGUAAUCGCAGAUCAGCAACGCUGCGGUGAAUACGUUCCCGGGCCCCGCAAACACCGCCCGUCAAG